rnacentral:misc_RNA from 1 species
GGAAAUAAAAUCGUAACAAGGUUUCCGUAGGUGAACCUGCGGAAGGAUCAUUACUGAGUGAGGGCCCCUCGGGGUCCAACCUCCCACCCGUGUUUAACGAACCUUGUUGCUUCGGCGGGCCCGCCUCACGGCCGCCGGGGGGCAUCUGCCCCCGGGCCCGCGCCCGCCGAAGCCACCUGUGAACGCUGUCUGAAGUAUGCAGUCUGAGACAAUUAUUAAAUUAAUUGAAACUUUCAACAACGGAUCUCUUGGUUCUG